rnacentral:ncRNA from 1 species
GCUUCCGGCUGGGGGAGCCUGCGGGCUGAGAAAGGGUGCAAGGACCCUGACCCCUAGGGCCGCCGUGCGGCCCUGCACCUGAUGCAGAUAGUGCUGUCGAAGGGAAGCUGGCAACGUGCGCU